rnacentral:rRNA from 1 species
GGGCGCAAKYYUGAUGCAGCGACGCCGCGUGAGGGAUGGAGGCCUUCGGGUUGUAAACCUCUUUUGUUAGGGAGCAAGGCACUUUGUGUUGAGUGUACCUUUCGAAUAAGCACCGGCUAACUACGUGCCAGCAGCCGCGGUAAUACGUAGGGUGCAARMRWNUANCCGGAAUUAUUGGGCGUAAAGGGCUCGUAGGCGGUUCGUCGCGUCCGGUGUGANANUNCAUCGCUUAACGGUGGAUCCGCGCCGGGUACGGGCGGGCUUGAGUGCGGUAGGGGAGACUGGAAUUCCCGGUGUAACGGUGGAAUGUGUAGACAUCGGGAAGAACACC